rnacentral:rRNA from 1 species
CCUACGGGUGGCAGCAGUGAGGAAUAUUGGUCAAUGGCCGGAAGGCUGAACCAGCCAUGCCGCGUGAAGGUCAGUGCCCUAUGGGCGUUAAACUUCUUUUGUGCGGGAGCAAUAAUGGUCACGUGUGGCCAGACGAGAGUACCGUACGAAUAAGCAUCGGCUAACUCCGUGCCAGCAGCCGCGGUAAUACGGGGGAUGCAAGCGUUAUCCGGAGUUAUUGGGUUUAAAGGGUGCGUAGGCUGUGAGGUAAGUCAGCGGUGAAAUGCCCCCGCUCAACGGGGUGAAGUGCCAUUGAUACUGCCUUGCUGGAAUGCGGAUGCCGUGGGAGGAAUGUGUGGUGUAGCGGUGAAAUGCGUAGAUAUUAGGAGGAACACCAGUGGCGAAGGCGGACUGCUGGGCUUUUACUGACGCUGAGGCUCGAAAGUGUGGGGAGCAAACAGGAUUAGAUACCCGUGUAGUC